AUUGAACGCUGGCGGCAUGCUUUACACAUGCAAGUCGAACGGCAGCACGGGCUUCGGCCUGGUGGCGAGUGGCGAACGGGUGAGUAAUGCAUCGGAACGUGCCCAUUUGUGGGGGAUAACUACGCGAAAGCGUGGCUAAUACCGCAUACGCCCUGAGGGGGAAAGCGGGGGAUUCUUCGGAACCUCGCGCAAUUGGAGCGGCCGAUGUCAGAUUAGCUUGUUGGUGAGGUAAAGGCUCACCAAGGCGACGAUCUGUAGCGGGUCUGAGAGGAUGAUCCGCCACACUGGGACUGAGACACGGCCCAGACUCCUACGGGAGGCAGCAGUGGGGAAUCUUGCGCAAUGGGGGAAACCCUGACGCAGCAACGCCGCGUGAGUGAGGAAGGCCUUCGGGUCGUAAAGCUCUGUCAGAUGGGAAGAAAUGGAUGGGGGCUAAUAUCGCCCAUCCUUGACGGUACCAUCAGAGGAAGCACCGGCUAACUCCGUG
rnacentral:rRNA from 1 species